AGGAGAGGGGACAGACACACUCCGGGUGCUGCUGUCCCCCAGGGGGAUGGAGCUCCAUCCUGCCGUGCCUGCCUCUCGUGCUGCCCCGGCUGCAGCGGGGCUGGAGCUGUUUCCAUGCGGAGCUUUAUCCCCAGGAUCUGGCUGAGGUCUGCUCCCAGCCCUGCAUGUUCGAGUUACCUCGUGUGCAAGUAAAACGUGGAGACCCUUUCCAAAGCCUUUUCCACUGGAUGAGACCUCUCCUGUGGGACACAGCCCCACUGGGGACUUUCUUUACUCAUAAGAAAAAUGAUAAUGUUUGAUGGUGGUGGCAGACUAACCUACACUACAACUUGGGUUAGUUCAUUUUAAAAAACAACAAGUUUUCACAGCUGCCUUCCUCUCCUGAAGUGCUCAUUAAAUAUACAACAAACAAAAGCAAAUCACAGCCUCCAGUCAAAUUAAUAGAGAAGAUGAAGAUGCUUCUCACCUGCACAUUGGAAUGACUCCUCUCACACCACCCAGAACUUUCUUCCACUGCUCCCCUUCUCCUCCUCUGUUGCUGUGCAUCUGCCACCCUGCAGCUGAACUUUAUAAAAUACUUUUGUGUACUUCUGGUAGUUAACACUGGAUACAUGCAUGUGUCAGUACAAACAAGUAUAAAACUCCUCCAGGUUAUUAAAAAUACAAGUGCUGAGAA